UGCAGGCGGCUCCUUACCAUGUGCAAACAUCGUUACCAUGCAAACCAUUAGCGAAUUAAAGCUCUGCAGUGUGGUAAACAACAUUGUGUCAGAAGGUUGGCUUUCUCUCCCACUCCCUAGCACUUCCCACCUCAGACAACCACCCAGGAUGUAUUGCUUCAUUGCCAUAACGUGGUCUGUUCAUGGAUUCUUCUCUCUUCUCGCCAGGCCAUCAGCUACCAUGUGAGCAUCAGUUUGGGUUGCUGUUAAGACAAGAUCCAAGAUGAAGCUUUUCCUGCUUGUAUCCAGUUAGUUUCAGAGUGGGGCUCUGAGUCCUGGGAUGAAAAUUUCCAGUGUACUCUGG
rnacentral:lncRNA from 1 species